CGGGCCAAAAAUGGUCAACUCUUUGGACACUCGUGAACAGGUGGUGCAUGGUUGUCGUCAGCUCGUGUCGUGAGAUGUUGGAUUAAGUCCCGCAACGAGCGCAACCCUCGUUCUAUGUUGCCAGCGCGUAAUGGCGGGAACUCAUAGGAGACUGCCGGGGUCAACUCGGAGGAAGGUGGGGAUGACGUCAAAUCAUCAUGCCCCUUAUGUCUUGGGCUUCACGCAUGCUACAAUGGCCGGUACAAAGGGCUGCGAUACCGUAAGGUGGAGCGAAUCCCAAAAAGCCGGUCUCAGUUCGGAUUGAGGUCUGCAACUCGACCUCAUGAAGUCGGAGUCGCUAGUAAUCGCAGAUCAGCAACGCUGCGGUGAAUACGUUCCCGGGUCUUGUACACACCGA
rnacentral:rRNA from 1 species